GCGUCUUUAGCAUAAUGGCAAUGCCUCCGCCUUCGAAGCGGUACAAUAUGGGUUCGAGUCCUUUAGGACGCU
rnacentral:tRNA from 1 species